UACAGAGGUGGCAAGCGUUGUUCGGAAUUACUGGGCGUAAAGGGCGCGUAGGCGGUCUUGUAAGUCCCGUGUGAAAUCCCUCGGCUCAACUGAGGAACUGCACGGGAAACUGCUUGGCUUGAGUUCGGGAGAGGGAAGCGGAAUUCCGGGUGUAGCGGUGAAAUGCGUAGGUAUCCGGAGGAACACCGGUGGCGAAGGCGGCUUCCUGGACCGAUACUGACGCUGAGGCGCGAAAGCUAGGGGAGCAAACGGG
rnacentral:rRNA from 1 species